rnacentral:lncRNA from 1 species
UCUCCUCCUCUCUCACCAUCUCUUCAAUCCUCAUCUCACGAUCUCUCAAACUUGCUGUCUGUCGUCACGGAUUUAAGCUCACCACCUCUGCUCAAGUCUGGAAACCAUGACCCCUCGCCUCCUCCCCUUGGUCUAUCUCUACUUAAGCGUUCAUCUUCUUUUCAUCUUUUUUAAAUAAAAUCUAUUGCUUUUGUUUACAGAUCUGGAAUGAUGAUGACAAAGAGGAGGUAAUGGUGAUCCAGAGACAGAGGCGGCAUAAGUGAUUCACUUUAAUUUUUUUUGCAUUUCUCGUCUCCUCUUCUCUAGCAAUCUCUCGUCUCCUCCUCUCUCACCAUCUCUUCAAUCCUCAUCUCACGAUCUCUCAAACUUGCUGUCUGUCGUCACGGAUUUAAGCUCACCACCUCUGCUCAAGUCUGGAAACCAUGACCCCUCGCCUCCUCCCCUUGGUCUAUCUCUACUUAAGCGUUCAUCUUCUUUUCAUUUUUUUUUAAAUAAAAUCUAUUGCUUUUGUUUACAGAUCUGGAAUAAUGAUGACAUAGAGGAGGUAAUGGUGAUCCAGAGACAGAGGCGGCGGCCGAC